rnacentral:tRNA from 1 species
GGUUAAGUUUACAGAUGGUUCUGUAGUGGAUUUGCAAAAUCUAUUUUUAGGGUUCAAUUCCUUCUUAACUC